GAUGAACGCUGGCGGCGUGCCUAAUACAUGCAAGUCGAACGCUCAAGUUUGGAGCUUGCACCGGGGGGGUUAGCGGCGGACGGGUGAGUAAUAAGUGAGUAACCUGCCCUUGAGUCUGGGAUAAGUCCGGGAAACCGGGGCUAAUACUGGAUAAGAUAUGUCACCGCAUGGUUGGGUGGGGAAAGGGGUUUCCUGGUUUUGGUUGGGCUCACGGCCUAUCAGCUUGUUGGGGGGGUAAUGGCACACCAAGGCGACGCCGGGUAGCCGGCCUGAGAGGGUGACCGGCCACACUGGGACUGAGACACGACCCAGACUCCUACGGGAGGCAGCAGUGGGGAAUAUUGCACAAUGGGCGGAAGCCUGAUGCAGCGACGCCGCGUGAGGGAUGACGGCCUUCGGGUUGUAAACCUCUUUCAGCACGGAAGAAGCGAAAGUGACGGUACGUGCAGAAGAAGCGCCGGCUAACUACGUG
rnacentral:rRNA from 1 species